rnacentral:rRNA from 1 species
CCUACGGGUGGCAGCAGUGAGGAAUAUUGGUCAAUGGGCGCGAGCCUGAACCAGCCAAGUCGCGUGAGGGAAGACGGUCCUAUGGAUUGUAAACCUCUUUUGUCGGGGAGCAAAAGACGCCACGCGUGGCGGUCCGAGAGGACCCGAAGAAAAAGCAUCGGCUAACUCCGUGCCAGCAGCCGCGGUAAUACGGAGGAUGCGAGCGUUAUCCGGUUUUAUGGGGUUUAAAGGGUGCGCAGGCGGAAGAUCAAGUCAGCGGUAAAAUUGAGAGGCUCAACCUCUGCGAGCCGUUGAAACUGGUUUUCUUGAGUGAGCGAGAAGUAUGCGGAAUGCGUGGUGUAGCGGUGAAAUGCAUAGAUAUCACGCAGAACUCCGAUUGCGAAGGCAGCAUACCGGCGCUCAACUGACGCUCAUGCACGAAAGUGUGGGUAUCGAACAGGAUUAGAUACCCGAGUAGUC